AUUGAACGCUGGCGGCAUGCCUUACACAUGCAAGUCGAACGGCAGCACGGGUGCUUGCACCUGGUGGCGAGUGGCGAACGGGUGAGUAAUACAUCGGAACAUGUCCUGUAGUGGGGGAUAGCCCGGCGAAAGCCGGAUUAAUACCGCAUACGAUCUACGGAUGAAAGCGGGGGACCUUCGGGCCUCGCGCUAUAGGGUUGGCCGAUAGCUGAUUAGCUAGUUGGUGGGGUAAAGGCCUACCAAGGCGACGAUCAGUAGCUGGUCUGAGAGGACGACCAGCCACACUGGGACUGAGACACGGCCCAGACUCCUACGGGAGGCAGCAGUGGGGAAUUUUGGACAAUGGGCGAAAGCCUGAUCCAGCAAUGCCGCGUGUGUGAAGAAGGCCUUCGGGUUGUAAAGCACUUUUGUCCGGAAAGAAAUCCUUGGCUCUAAUACAGUCGGGGGGUGACGGUACCGGAAGAAUAAGCACCGGCUAACUACGUG
rnacentral:rRNA from 1 species